GACGAACGCUGGCGGCGUGCUUAACACAUGCAAGUCGAACGGUAAGGCCCUUCGGGGUACACGAGUGGCGAACGGGUGAGUAACACGUGGGUGAUCUGCCCUGCACUUCGGGAUAAGCCUGGGAAACUGGGUCUAAUACCGGAUAGGACCACUGCCUGCAUGGGUGGUGGCGGAAAGCUUUUGCGGUGUGGGAUGGGCCCGCGGCCUAGCAGCUUGUUGGUGGGGUGAUGGCCUACCAAGGCGACGACGGGUAGCCGGCCUGAGAGGGUGACCGGCCACACUGGGACUGAGAUACGGCCCAGACUCCUACGGGAGGCAGCAGUGGGGAAUAUUGCACAAUGGGCGCAAGCCUGAUGCAGCGACGCCGCGUGAGGGAUGACGGCCUUCGGGUUGUAAACCUCUUUCAGCACCGACGAAGCGCAAGUGACGGUAGGUGCAGAAGAAGGACCGGCCAACUACGUGCCAGCCGCCGCAGUAA
rnacentral:rRNA from 1 species